AUUGAACGCUGGCGGCAGGCCUAACACAUGCAAGUCGAGCGGAUGAGGGGUGCUUGCACCCCGAUUCAGCGGCGGACGGGUGAGUAAUGCCUAGGAAUCUGCCCGAUAGUGGGGGACAACGUUUCGAAAGGAACGCUAAUACCGCAUACGUCCUACGGGAGAAAGUGGGGGCUCUUCGGACCUCACGCUAUCGGAUGAGCCUAGGUCGGAUUAGCUAGUUGGUGGGGUAAAGGCUCACCAAGGCGACGAUCCGUAACUGGUCUGAGAGGAUGAUCGGUCACACUGGAACUGAGACACGGUCCAGACUCCUACGGGAGGCAGCAGUGGGGAAUAUUGGACAAUGGGCGAAAGCCUGAUCCAGCCAUGCCGCGUGUGUGAAGAAGGUCUUCGGAUUGUAAAGCACUUUAAGUCGGGAGGAAGGGCUGUAGGUUAAUACCUUGCAGCCUUGACGUUACCGACAGAAUAAGCACCGGCUAACUUCGUGCCAGCAGCCGCCGUAACAC
rnacentral:rRNA from 1 species